rnacentral:rRNA from 1 species
AUUGAAGGCUGGCGGCAGGCUUAACACAUGCAAGCCGAACGAGAGGCGGACGGGUGAGUAAUGCUUGGGAAUCUAGCUUAGGGAGGGGGAUAAGUACGGGAAACUGUAGCUAAUACCGCGUACCAUAGGAUGAGCCUAGGUGGGAUUAGGUAGUUGGUGAGGUAAAGGCUCACCAAGCCGACGAUCUCUAGCAGGUCUGAGAGGAUGACCAGCCACACUGGGACUGAGACACGGCCCAGACUCCUACGGGAGGCAGCAGUGGGGAAUAUUGCGCAAUGGUGGCAAGCUGACGCAGCCAUGCCGCGUGAGUGAAGAAGGCCUUCGGGUUGUAAAGUUCUUUCGGUAGAGAGGCGUUAACUACAGAAGAAGCACCGGCUAACUCCGUGCCAGCAGCCGCGGUAAUUC